CCUACGGGCGGCAGCAGUGAGGAAUAUUGGUCAAUGGUCGGGAGACUGAACCAGCCAAGCCGCGUGAGGGAGGAAGGUACAGAGUAUCGUAAACCUCUUUUGUCAGGGAACAAAGGCGGGGACGUGUCCCCGGAUGAGUGUACCUGAAGAAAAAGCAUCGGCUAACUCCGUGCCAGCAGCCGCGGUAAUACGGAGGAUGCGAGCGUUAUCCGGAUUUAUUGGGUUUAAAGGGUGCGCAGGCGGUCUGUUAAGUCAGCGGUCAAAGCCCGGGGCUCAACCCCGGCCCGCCGUUGAAACUGGCAGUCGCGAGUUGGAGAGAAGUAUGCGGAAGGCGCGGUGUAGCGGUGAAAUGCAGAGAUAUCGCGCAGAACUCCGAUUGCGAAGGCAGCAUGCCGGCUCCACACUGACGCUGAGGCACGAAAGCGUGGGUAUCGAACAGGAUUAGAUACCCCUGUAGUC
rnacentral:rRNA from 1 species